rnacentral:rRNA from 1 species
GAUGAACGCUGGCGGCGUGCCUAAUACAUGCAAGUCGAGCGAACAGAUAAGGAGCUUGCUCCUUUGAAGUUAGCGGCGGACGGGUGAGUAACACGUGGGUAACCUACCUAUAAGACUGGGAUAACUUCGGGAAACCGGAGCUAAUACCGGAUAACAUUUAGAACCGCACGGUUCUAAAGUGAAAGAUGGUUUUGCUAUCACGUAUAGAUGGACCCGCGCCGUAUUAGCUAGUUGGUAAGGUAACGGCUUACCAAGGCGACGAUACGUAGCCGACCUGAGAGGGUGAUCGGCCACACUGGAACUGAGACACGGUCCAGACUCCUACGGGAGGCAGCAGUAGGGAAUCUUCCGCAAUGGGCGAAAGCCUGACGGAGCAACGCCGCGUGAGUGAUGAAGGGUUUCGGCUCGUAAAGCUCUGUUAUUAGGGAAGAACAAAUGUGUAAGUAACUGUGCACAUCUUGACGGUACCUAAUCAGAAAGCCACGGCUAACUACGUG